GCCGUUGGCAUCUGGCACUGUGGUUCCUGCAUGAAAACGGUGGCUGUCGGGUCCUGGACGUACAACACAGCUUCUGCAGUCACAGUGAAGUCUGCC
rnacentral:miRNA from 1 species